UGAAAAAAGAAAAGACAUGGGCCAGUGUC
rnacentral:piRNA from 1 species